rnacentral:rRNA from 1 species
AUGGGCGCGCCGAUCUUCGGCGCCGUCCUCCUCUGCCUGGUACUCGCCGCGGCAGCGGUGCCGGAGCAGCAGCCCACAUUGCCCUCCUCUUCAGCGGCCAACAGCUCCACGGGGGUGAACUCCAACUCGGUGCUGGUGGCGCUGCUGGACUCGCACUACACGGAGCUGGCGGAGCUGGUGGAGAAGGCGCUGCUGCUGCAGUCCCUGGAGGACGCCGUGGGGCGGGGCAACGUCACCAUCUUCGCGCCCCGGAACGAGGCCCUCGAGCGGGACCUCGACCCGGAGUUCCGCGCCUUCCUCCUUGAGCCCCGCAACCUGCGCUCCCUCCAGCGCCUGCUCCUCUUCCACGUCCUCCCCUCCCGCCUGCACUCGCACUCCGCCUGGCCCGCCUCCACCGCGCGGAUGACGCUCUCCGGCGAGCACCUCCAGCUGUCAGCCGACGGCCAGAAGAUGCUAGUCGGCACCGCGGAGGUCACGCGGCCGGACGCGGUGGUGAGGCCCGACGGGGUCAUCCACGGUAUCGAGCGGCUGCUGGUGCCGCGCUCAGUUCAGGAGGAUUUCAACCGCCGCCGCAGCCUGGCUGCCAUCUCGGCCGUGCUCCCCACGGGCGCCCCCGAGGUGGACCCCAGGACGCACAGGCUGAAGAAGCCCGCGCCGCCCGUGCCCCUCGGCGCGCCGCCCGUGCUGCCGGUCUGGGACGCCAUGGCCCCCGGCCCUUCCAUUGCUCCGGCGCCGGCCCCCGGCCCCGGAUCCGGGAAGCACCACUUCGACGGGCACAGCCAGGUCAAGGACUUCAUCCAGACGCUGGUCCUGUACGGCGGGUACAACGAGCUCGCGGAUAUCCUGGUGAACCUGACGUCGCUGGCGACGGAGAUGGGGCGGCUGGUCUCGGAGGGUUAUGUGCUCACAGUGCUGGCCCCCAAUGACGAGGCCAUGGCACGGCUGACCACGGACCAGCUGAGCGAGCCCGGGUCGCCGGAGAACAUCCUCUACUACCACAUGGUCCCCGAGUACCAGACGGAGGAGAGCAUGUACAACGCCGUGCGGAGGUUCGGGACGGUGAGGUACGACACGCUGCGGCUGCCGCAGAAGGUGACGGCGAGGGAGGCGGACGGGUCGGUCAAGUUCGGGCACGGCGAGGGGUCCGCCUACCUCUUCGAUCCGGAUAUCUACACCGACGGGAGGAUCUCUGUGCAGGGCAUCGACGCAGUGCUCUUCCCGCCGGUGGAGGACACGGCCAAGAGCGGCGGCGCCUCGCCCGUGAGGAAGGCCCCCGCCGUCACCGGCACGGCCAAGCCCAAGCUCCGACGAGGGAAGUUGUUGGAAGGGGCGUGCCAUGUCGCGGCUGUCUUCGGUGGGCGAUCACACUUCACGAGCUGCCAGUAG